AAAAUUGAGAGAACAGAAUCAUGGAGACUUCGAAUUAAAGAAACAGAACCAGAGAGAAGUAGUGAGAGUGCGUAAGGGGAAAAAAAAAGAAAAAAAAAGAGAGAAAAUGUGAGUAGAAAAGAGAGAGCACCGGCGGAGCCAGAAGCGGCAAACGACCCUCCUAUAACGCCGCCUAAGCGAAUUGCGAUUAUCUUGCUUCAGUAUCACAGGAGUAAAUACUAAAGGGCAUUUGAAAACAAGUACUGUGCUUCAGAAAUGCAUGUAGGGUUGUGGCAUAGCAAAUAUAAAGUUCUGGACGUCCAUGUAGUGGAUCAGAGGUGCUUCUUCAAAUUUAGUGGGGCCAUGAGUUCUUGCUGAGGACUCGUCAGAAAAGCCCUUCCCUUCCUGUGCAGGUAGUUCUCUAAGGCCAGUGAAAAGCAGUCUGCUAUACUUCUAGUAAGUUCAGUGUUGAGUUUAAGAUACUGUAAGUUCUACUUUCAUGCUGUGCGUUCUUUUUCUUUUUUUCUUUUUUGUGUUGUAUUCACGUAAAUCUUUGUGUCACUUGAGCACUCUGAUUAUCAUAGGCUGCCUUCAACACUUGAAGAAUCAAAAAAAUUUUCUUGAGUUACUCUAUUUACAUCAUUGUCCAAUUUGAGUUCUGUUUCCGCACACAUUUUGUUUUUGUUUUUCUGUUUUUUCCCCUUAAAUGAUUUUCCUGUGGGGCAAGUGUGUUUCUGGAUCAGAGUUGUAGGGCCAUUGGUUACUGUAAUGUUUCCGAAUGUGCUUUCCAUUGUUAAAUAAAGACUACGUGCUUGUGGGUUUCCCAUUGGCAUCACUACCACUCUGGAGAUUGCUAUUGGCUAGACAUAUAUUGGAUUAGUGGGGCAUAGGAACCUGAGUUAGUUGUGGAAUGGUAGUUUGUACCCUUUUUUGUCACUGAUUUGAACUGUCAAAAUGUUAGGGUAUGGCCAAUAUUCAAACCAAAUUCCAGCCACCUAUAAAGAUGAUUGAGAUUCAUUUUAGAUGGAUCCUUUUACUAAAUUUUUAUGUUGUUUAAGCAAUGGGAAGUUUCUGGUUUUGGCCUAACAUUUGGCAGCCUGACAAAAUGAUCAAUUCUGUCUGCCGUUGAUUUUGAAUAAGAAAUUUCCAUUAUAAUAUCAUCGUUUUGGCUGUAAUACAGUUUUAACUCUAAAAUUGAAAUCUUAACAGGUUCAAAUAAUCAAAACUUCAAAUGACUUUUUCUGGAUGAAUUAUGGUAUGGAUUCAUGCAGAAGGAUGACAUUGGAUAAAAAUCCCGAGUAUGACCCUGUGUAGGAUUUAUAGAAAUUUUCUAGAGGCCCAAAUUAAAAUGAUUCUAUAACUGAUUGCUCAUUACAUUUAUUUGAUCAUUAAGUUUAGUUGAUGUUAGUGAUUGCAGUGAGUAACAAUUGGCUAUAAUUCAAUAUA